rnacentral:rRNA from 1 species
GACGAACGCUGGCGGCGUGCUUAACACAUGCAAGUCGAACGGAAAGGCCCUGCUUUUGUGGGGUGCUCGAGUGGCGAACGGGUGAGUAACACGUGAGUAACCUGCCCUUGACUUUGGGAUAACUUCAGGAAACUGGGGCUAAUACCGGAUAGGAGCUCCUGCUGCAUGGUGGGGGUUGGAAAGUUUCGGCGGUUGGGGAUGGACUCGCGGCUUAUCAGCUUGUUGGUGGGGUAGUGGCUUACCAAGGCUUUGACGGGUAGCCGGCCUGAGAGGGUGACCGGCCACAUUGGGACUGAGAUACGGCCCAGACUCCUACGGGAGGCAGCAGUGGGGAAUAUUGCACAAUGGGCGGAAGCCUGAUGCAGCGACGCCGCGUGCGGGAUGACGGCCUUCGGGUUGUAAACCGCUUUCGCCCGUGACGAAGCGUGAGUGACGGUAAUGGGUAAAGAAGCACCGGCUAACUACGUG